AUCGCUUCUUGGCCUUUUGGCUAAGAUCAAGUGUAGUAUCUGUUCUUAUCAGUUUAAUAUCUGAUACAUCCUCUAUCUGAGGACAAUAUAUUAAAUGCAUUUUUGGAGCUUGGAGUUGGAAUAGGAGCCUGCUCUGUCCACUCCUCGCAUUGACCUGGUAUUGCAGUACCUCUAGGAAUGAUGAAACCCCU
rnacentral:snRNA from 1 species